GCCGAUGUGGCGGAAUAGGCAGACGCGGCGGUCUCAAAAACCGUUGGAUAACUUCCAUGCCGGUUCGACUCCGGCCAUCGGCACCA
rnacentral:tRNA from 1 species